GAGACUCCUGCUUUCAAGUCAGUUCAUUAAUCAUUAUCAUUCUCAUCUACAGGAGGGUGAAGACUCUUGUAUGUCCUGAUGGGAUGACUUUCAUAGAAGAACAGCCUGCAGAUAAUAAUGGGUUACAAUAAACUUACUGCUCCUGAAAGAACCAGCAACUAGUUUGUCCUAAAACCAAUCUUCCCUUCUGAUAAGUCCCAAUGCCAUGUAACCAUUGGAUACUUAUCAUUUGUUAUAUAAUGAGUUACGUUUUCAUAUAUUUAUGCUAACUCUCUAACUUGACUAUAUAUUCUACCAAGAUAGAAGUAAAUAUUCCUUCCUCAUUUUCCUAUGGAUAUAAAUUUAUACAUUGUACCUAUUUAAUCAAAUACUUGACUGGUUGGAUGCCUGCAUCAAAUGCAGACAUGACUCCCCCCAAAAUGGGCUUUGUAGGAGCCUAUGUGGCAAAGAUUAGGGUUCCUGGGAAGCCGAAUCUGAGAUGAAAUUAAGAGCUCGUUAUGUUAAUUAAGGUGCAUCCUUGGAUUCAACACCUCUCGAGUUAGGGGAAGGAAGCAGACAGGGCAGAGAAAGAAGUUGAGCUUCCACGGAGACCCAUCACAGCUUCAGGGAAUCUCAUAGAGAUUUCUAGAGCUAGAAUGACCCUUCAGCAUUUUCUCAGGUUGAUUUGCAAUGAACAGGCCCUUACACUCCCUCCUUGAUCAGUUUUUGGAUGUGGGCUCCCUGCAAAGGGAUGUGUCCUUGGGCAAGGCUGCUCUCUGUAACAGAGGCAAUCCUUGGAAGGGCAGCCAGCUUAUGGCCAUCUGCCAACAGCUGAAGAGCAACAAGUUCUUCAGUGAAGGAAGGCCUGGCCAGUGCAGCACUGGGCUCAUUUAUAUUAGGUAACUCCAGGUAAAUGUAAGUGCAUUUCUUAGAGGUGGGAUGAGGUACUUUGAAGUACCUCACUGAGUUUAAAGGCAAAGGUAUUGAUACCCACAGUUAUAUUCAUUAUUUCUGGUUGAGUUCAAUUACACUGAAUUUGAGAUGGCAGUUUGAAAAUUUACUGUCAGUAACUACCAAAAAAAAAAAAAAAGAAAGAGCAGAGCAUUGUCUUCGCGAUUAUGCUGGGACACUUUCAGAGUAAGUCCCCAAGAUACAAGGUCCAAAAAAAAUACUGAUGUGGUACUCAAUUGUGGUUCUUUGUAGUCUCUUUCUAAGAGAACUUCAGCUGCAUGUUGGAUGGAAAACAAUAUGAAACAAGGGAGAGAGAGAAGAAACAGAGUUUGUUAAUAUUCUCUGCUAGAUUCUGCAGAGGAAUCACUUUAUUUUGCAGUUGCAACUAGCUUAAGUUAUGUAGCUAGAAGUUAUGUAGCUAGAAAGCUGACUUGCACACUUAAAGCUAAUGAAGAGAAAUGCAGGUUUUCCGGGGUAGGUUCUUGGCACUUCUCUGCAAAUAGGUAAAAGGGAAUGGCAGAUAUUCAAGCUUAGGGAGCAAGCAGCAAGGACAGAGCCUUCCCCGUCUCUGUGUGUUGAAGUCAGCAGAUAGCACACCUGCUGCUGCGUGAGUUCCUUCUGCCAAGCAGAGCAGCACAGCUGCAAGACACCCUGCUUCUGGCUCUGAGCUUUGCUUGUCUUCAGGGAUGGAGCCCCUCCCAAGGCAAGUUCAACUGGGUUCUUUGGCAGCCGAAGUCUACACGGACCCUGCAGGGAGCGGUGGAGAAAAGUUAGAUGUCUGAAGUGUUUUUCAUUGGACCAAAAUCAAGGUGUUGGCUGGGCUACCUUCCCUUCUGGAGACUCUAAGGAAGAAUCCAUUUCCUUGUCUUUUCCAGAUCCUAGAGGCUACCUGCAUUCCUUGGCUUUUAUCCCCAAUCUUCCAUCUUCGGAGCCAGCAACACACCUUUUUCUUCCUUCCAUGAUAUAGAUAUAUUGAUCAUGAGGAGAGGGCUCACCCCUCACCCGGAGAAGUAGUUGGGGAAGCAAUAUGCGGAAACAAAGCCAUGAAUCUGACAAGAAAUGUACUUAAGAUUGUAUAUAUGGAGAUGAAUACCCAUUGUCCUUUGCACUUUCUGGAUGAUAAAUUAGAAAAGAAAAAUCCAAAGAAUGAAGUUGUGCUAUUUGUCCUCACUUCUGAUUUGGGAAACUAGAGGAAAUUAAGAUGGGAAAAGACCAUGUGAGGACACAGUGAGAAGGAGACCAUAUGCAAAGCAGGAAGGAAGAUCUCACUGGAACCAAAAACCAGCCCUGCUGGCACCCUGAUCUUGGACUUCUAGCCUUUCUCAGAACUGUGAGAAAAUAAAUUUCUGAUGUUUCAGCCACUCAGCCUGUGGUCGUUCGUUAUGCAACCCUAGCAGACAAACAGGGACCUAGCUUAAGAACUGGUUAAAAAUGAGGCCAGUGAGGAAUUUGAUACUCUAUGGUUGGGAAAGUUUGAUUUAUUCUAAGUGCAAUGGAAUGGAGCUGGGGAUAUAAAUUUUGGAUUUACUGGCAGGUGAAACAUAUUUUAAAAUAGACUAAAAUUAAAUUUCCUAAGGACAGAAUGUAGACAGAAAAGAAUCAAGGUUUUAUGACCAAGAUCCAAGUCACUCCAAUAUUUAGAGUUCUCCCAAGCAUUUAAAGAAGGCUUACACUGAUUCUAUGUAGCAUCUUCCAAAAAAUAGAAAUUUUUCACGGCAUCUUUCCAAGUCAUUAUAUGAGGCCAAAAUUACCUUGAUAUUUUAACCAAAGACAGUACGAGAGAAAAAGCUAUAGAUCAAUAUCUCACAUGAACUUAGACAUAACAUUUCUAAACAAAAUAUUAGCAACUUGAAUCCAGAAAUAUGUAAAAAAGAAUUAUGCAACAUAGCCAAGUGGGAUCUAUUCCAGGUAUGCAAUGCUUUUAAAUGUUUGAAAAAAAGUCAAUAUAAUCUACCAUAUUAACAGGCUAAUCACAUGAUCAUAUCAGUUGAUGAAGAUCAAAUCUAUGACAAAAUUUAACACCUAUUUAUAAUUUUAAAGAACCUCUCUAAAAAUAAAAAAUAGAAGGAAAUAUCCUCAAAUUGAUAAAGAUCAUUUACAGAAAACACAAAAGCUAGCAUUACACUUAAUGGUGAGAAUCUGAAUUAGUUCCCCCUAAGAUCAGGACCAGGCAAAGAUGUUUGCUAUCAUCACUCUCAUUCCAUAUAGUGCUGGAAGUUCUCACUGGUGCAAUAAGGCACACAGUGGAAAUAAAGACACUGAAAUUUGUGUUAGUUAAUUUUGUGUUGCUAUAACGGAAUGCCACAGAAUGGAUAAUUUAUUAAGAAAAUUGUUUAUUUCUUACAGUUUUGGAGGCUCAGAAGUUCAAGGUGCAGGGGCCCACAUCUGGUGAGGGCCUUCUUGCUGUAUCAUCCCAUGGCAGAAGGCAAAAGGGCAAGAGUACAAGAUAGAAAGAGAAAGAGGGAUGGGGGAAGGUUGAUAUGAGGGAGCCAAACUCAUCCUUUUUAUCCAGAGUCCACUCCUGAGAUAAUUAAGUCACUUCCGCAAUACAUCAUUAAUCCAUUCAGAGCCCUCAUGACCUAAUCACCUUUUAAAGGUUCCACUUAACGCUGUUGCACUGGGGAUUAAGUUUCCAAUACAAAAACUUUGGGGGAUGCAUUCAAACUAUAGCCAGUUUGAAUGGAAAAAAAUUUAACUGUUUCUAUUUCAAAUGACCUAAUUGUAUACAUAGAAAAUUCCAGGCAAUCUUUUAAAAACUCCCAGAACUAAUGUAUAAGUUUAGCAAGAUCAUAGGAUCCAAGACCAACACACAAAAAUCAAUCAUAUUUUUAUACGCUAGCAAUGAAUAUGUGGAAAACACAAUUAAGAAUACAAGACUAUUUACAAUUAUUUCAAAAAAGAGAGAAAUAAUUAGAUACAAAUCUAAUGUACACAUAGGUCCUCUAUGCCAAAAAUGACAGAACCCAAAGGAACAAAUGCAAAGGACCUUUAAAUAAAUGGAGAGAUGACUUUGUAAUGGAUAGAAAGAUUCAACAUAAUAAAGAUGUCAAUUCUCUCCAACUUCAUCAACAGGGGCAAUUCAAUUCAUAUCAAAAUUCCAAAAAAAUUUUUUUGCAGAUAUAGUAAAAUUUAUUUUAAAAUUUAUAUCUCAAGGCACAGGCCAUGGACUAAGUAAAAUUAUUUUGAAAUUGAAUAAAGUUGGGUAGAUUAUUAUAUCCAAUGUUAAGACUUAAUAUAUGGCUACAAUAAUCAAGAGAGUGUGAUAUUGGUUGGGGGAAUAGACUCAUAGAUCAAUGGAACAGAAGAGAUAACCCGAAACUAAACAACACAAAUAUGCCCAGCUGAUUUUUGCAAAGGUUAUAAAAGCGGUUCAGUGGAAGAACAGUUCUUUCAACAGAUGAUGUUAAAGCAAUUAGAUGUCCAAGGGCAAAUAAUUGAGUCUCAACCUAAACCUAAUACUUCAUUCAAAAAUUAAUUCAAAGUGUAUUAUAGAUUUAAAUAUAAAUGUAAAACUAAAAAACUUUAGCAUAAAACAAAGAAAAAUUUUAGGAAGUAGGGCUAGAUGAGAAGAUCUUAGAUAUGACACCAAAAGCACAACUCAUAAGAGAAUAUAAUUACUCUAUUGGACUUCAUAAAAAUUAAAAACUUUUGCUCUGUGAAAGACUACAUUUAGAGAAUGAAAAGUUAAUCUAAAGUUAAUCUACAGACUAGAGGAAAAUAUUUGCAAAUCACAAGAUUCAACAUAGGGCUUCUACUUAGAAUAUAUAAAGAGCUCUCAAGCUGAACAUUAAAAGAAAAAUAAGCAGGCUGGUCUGAAGAUAGCGAAGUAUCUCAACUGAUUGUUCACAGUUCGUUAAGGAUCUUACUCUUUGUUCUACAAUUCCCCCCUUCUCACUACUGCACUUGACUAAUAAAAAAGCAAUUAAAUUAGAAAAUUUAUAAACAAAAUUAACAAAAGAUUUUUAACUGGGGAGAGAUGAUAUCUCAUUUUAGUUUUGAUUUGCUUUUCUCUGAUAAUCAAUGAUGUUGAAUGCGUUUUCACAUGCCUGUUUGACAUUUGUAUGUCUUCUUUUGGGCAACGUCUAUUCAAAUCUUUUGCCCAUUUUUUAAAUCAAAUUAUUAGAUUUUUUCCUGUAAAAUUGUUUGAGCUCCUUAUAUAUUCUAAUUAUUAAUCCCUCAUCAGGUGGGUAGUUUGCAAAUAAUUUCUCCCACUCUGCACAUUGUCUCUUCACUUUGUUUAUUGUUCCCUUCAUUCUGCAGAAGCUUUUAAACUUGAUUUGACCCCACUUGUCCAUAUCCAAAAGACAGGCAAUAACAAAUGCUGGUGAGGAUGUGGAGAAAAGUGAAUGCUUGUACACUGUUUGUGGGAAUAUAAAUUAGUAUAACCACUCUGAAGAAUAGUUUGGAGGUUCCUCGAAAAAUUAAAAAUAGAGCUACCAUAUGAUCCAGCAAUACCAUUCCUAGGUAUAUGACCAAUAGAAGGGAAAUCAAUAUAUUGAAGAGAUACCUGCACUCCCAUGUUAGCUGAAACACCGUUCAUAAUAGCCAAGAUUUGGAAGCAAUCUAAGUGUCCAUCAAUAGAUGAAUGGAUAAAGAAAGUGUGGUACUUAUACACAAUGGAGAAUUAUUUAGCCACGGAAAAGCAUGAGAUCCUGUCAUUUGCAACAACAUGGAUGGAACCGGAGAUCAUUAUGUUAAGUGAAAUAAGCCAGGCACAGAAAGACAAAGAUCACAUGUUCUCACUUAUUUGUGGGAGCUAAAAUUUAAAACGAUUGAACUCGUAUACAUAGAGUGUAGAGGAUGGUUACCAGAGGCUGGGAAGGGUAGUUGGGGUUGAUAGGGAAGAUGAAAAUAGCUAAUGGGUUAAAAAAAAUGAAAGAAUGAAUAAUACCUGGUAGUUGAUAGCAAAACAGGGUUACUAUAGUCAAAAUAAUUUAAUUGUAUAUUUUCAAAUAACUAAAAGAAUGUAAUUGGAUUGUUUGUAACACAAAGGAUAAAUGCUUAAGGAGAUGAAUACCCCAUUUACCCUGAUGUGAUUAUUAUAUGCAUUGCAUACCUGUCAUCUGGAUGUCCAAGCAGAAGUUUGCUGCAGAGGUGGGGCCUCAUGAAGAACCUCUGCUAGGGCAGUGUGGAAGAGAAAUGUGGGGUUGGAUGCCCCAGAGUCCCCACUGGGGCACUGCCUAGUAGAGCUGUGAGAAGAGAGCCACCAUCCUCCAUACUCCAGAACGAUAGAUCCACCAACAGCUUGCACUAUGCGCCUGGAAAAGCUGCAGACAUUCAACACUAGCCCCUGAAAGCAGCCAGGAUGGGGGCUGUAUCCUGCAAAGCCACAGGGGAGGAGCUGCCCGAGGCUGUGGGAGCUCACCUCUUGUAUCAGCAUGACCUGGAUAUGAGACAUGAAGUCAAAGGAGAUCAUUUUGGAGCUUUAAGAUUUAAUGAUUGCCCCUUGGGAUUACAGACUUGCAUGGAGUCUUAGCCCUUUUGUUUUGGCCAAUUCCUCCCAUUUGGAACAGGUAUAUUUACCCACUGCCUGUACCCCCAUUAUAUCUAGGAAGUAACUCACUUGCUUUUGAUUUUACAGACUCAUAAGUGGAAGGGACUUGCUUUGUCUCUGAUGAUACUUUGGACUGUGAACUUUUGAGUUAAUACUGAAAUGAGUUAAGACUUUGGGGGACUGUUGGGAAGGCAUGAUUGCUUUUGAAAUGUGAGAACAUGAGAUUUGGGAGGGGCCAGGGGCUGAAUGAUAUGGUUUGGUUGUGUCCCCACCCAAAUCUCACCUUAAAUUGUAAUAAUCCCCAUGUGUCAAGGGUGGGGCCAGGUGGAGAUAACUGGAUCAUGGGGGCGGUUUUCCCCAUACUGUUCUCAUGGUAGUGAAUAAGUCUUACGAGUCUGAUGGUUUUAUAAAUAAGACUUCCCCAUACAAGCUCUCUUUUGCCUGCCACCAUGUAAGAUGUGACUUUACUCCUCAUUUGCCUUCCGCUAUGAUUAUGAGGGCUCCCUAGCUAUGUGGACCUGUGAGUCCAUUAAACCUCUUUCCUUAAUAAAUUACCCAGUCUUGGGUGUGUCUUUAUUAGCAGUGUUUGAACAGACAAAUAUACAA
rnacentral:lncRNA from 1 species